rnacentral:rRNA from 1 species
UUUUGGACAAUGGGCGAAAGCCUGAUCCAGCCAUGCCGCGUGCAGGAUGAAGGCCUUCGGGUUGUAAACUGCUUUUGUACGGAACGAAAAAGUUCUCUCUAAUACAGGGGGCGAAUGACGGUACCGUAAGAAUAAGCACCGGCUAACUACGUGCCAGCAGCCGCGGUAAUACGUAGGGUGCAAGCGUUAAUCGGAAUUACUGGGCGUAAAGCGUGCGCAGGCGGUUAUAUAAGACAGAUGUGAAAUCCCCGGGCUCAACCUGGGAACUGCAUUAGUGACUGUAUAGCUAGAGUGCGGCAGAGGGGGAUGGAAUUCCGCGUGUAGCAGUGAAAUGCGUAGAUAUGCGGAGGAACACCGAUGGCGAAGGCAAUCCCCUGGGCCUGCACUGACGCUCAUGCACGAAAGCGUGGGGAGCAAACAGG